UAACGCGUAUGCAAUCUACCUUUCACAGAGGGAUAGCCCAGAGAAAUUUGGAUUAAUACCUCAUAGUAUAGCAGUUUCGCAUGAAACCACUAUUAAAGUCACAACGGUGAAAGAUGAGCAUGCGUCCCAUUAGCUAGUUGGUAAGGUAACGGCUUACCAAGGCAACGAUGGGUAGGGGUCCUGAGAGGGAGAUCCCCCACACUGGUACUGAGACACGGACCAGACUCCUACGGGAGGCAGCAGUGAGGAAUAUUGGACAAUGGGCGCAAGCCUGAUCCAGCCAUGCCGCGUGCAGGAUGACGGUCCUAUGGAUUGUAAACUGCUUUAUACAGGAAGAAACACUACUUCGUGAAGUAGCUUGACGGUACUGUAAGAAUAAGGAUCGGCUAACUCCGUG
rnacentral:rRNA from 1 species